UACGUAGGGACCAAGCGUUAUUCGGAAUUAUUGGGCGUAAAGGGCGCGUAGGCGGCCUGGCAAGUGGAAGGUGAAAUCCCUCGGCUUAACCGAGGAACUGCCCUCCAAACUGCUUGGCUUGAGGCCGGGAGAGGUGAGUGGAAUUCCCAGUGUAGCGGUGAAAUGCGUAGAUAUUGGGGGGAACACCAGUGGCGAAGGCGGCUCACUGGACCGGUUCUGACGCUGAGGCGCGAAAGCGUGGGGAGCAAACGGG
rnacentral:rRNA from 1 species